rnacentral:rRNA from 1 species
GAUGAACGCUGGCGGCGUGCCUAAUACAUGCAAGUCGAGCGAAGCGGGGACGGGUGCGUAACACGUGGAUAACCUCCUAUACGACUGGGAUAACUUCGGGAAACCGGAUCUAAACCUGAUACUUAUAUAUGUCUCCUGGCUGCAUUAGCUAGUUGGUAAGGUAACGGCUUACCAAGGCAACGAUGCAUAGCCGACCUGUGAGGGUGAUCGGACACACUGGAACGGAGACACGGUCCAGACUCCGACGGGAGGCAGCAGUAGGGAAUAUUGGGCAAGGGGCGAAAGCCUGACGGAGCAAUGCCGCGUGAGUGAAGAAGGUCUUCGGAUCGUAAAACACUGUUAGUAGGGAAGCGGUACCUAAUCAGAAAGCAACGGCUAACUACGUGCCAGCAGCCGCGGUAAUAC